UAGAGUUUGAUCCUGGCUCAGGAUGAACGUUGGCGGCGUGCCUUAGGCAUGCAAGUCGAGCGAACCAAAGUGUUAGCCUUUGGUUAACACAGAGGUUAGCGGCGAACGGGUGAGUAACAAGUAGGUUACCUGCCUCGAAGUUCGGGAUAGCUCUGGGAAACUGGAGGUAAUACCGGAGAUGUCGAAAGACCAAAGCUUUCGUAAGAAAGCGCUUCGAGAGGGGCCUGCUCGCUAUCAGCUAGUUGGUGAGGUAAUGGCUCACCAAGGCUAAGACGGCUAGCUGGUCUGAGAGGAUGGCCAGCCACAUAGGGACUGAGACACGGCCCUAACACCUACGGGUGGCAGCAACUAGGAAUUUUGGACAAUGGGGGAAACCCUGAUCCAGCGACGCCGCGUGGAGGAUGAAGGCUGUAAGGUUGUAAACUCCUUUUGCGUGGGAACAAUGUGAGGGUACCAUGCGAAUAAGUCACUGCUAACUCCGUGCCAGCAGCAGCGGUUAUACGGGGGUGGCAAACGUUAUCCGGAUUUACUGGGCGUAAAGAGAUGCGUAGGCGUUUUACUAAGUCCUGUGUUAAAGCCCUUGGCUUAACCAAGGAAGUGCAUAGGAUACUAGUAAAAUCGAGGAAGCCAGAGGAAAGCAGAAUUCACCGAGUACUAGUGAAAUGGGUUGAUACGGUGAGGAAUGCCAGUGGCGAAGGCGGCUUUCUGGGGCUUUCCUGACGCUAAGGCUCGAAAGCGUGGGGAGCAAAACGGAUUAGAUACCCGUGUAGUCCACGCCGUAAACGAUCUCUACUAGGCGUUCGGUACUCGAUUUUCUGGUAAUUUAAUUACCAGAAUUCCCCGCGUACUGAAUGCGAUAGCUAACGCGUUAAGUAGAGCGCCUGUGGAGUACGGCCGCAAGGCUAAAACAUAAAGGAAUUGACGGGGACCUGCACAAGCGGUGGAGCGCCUGGUUUAAUUCGAAGCUAAGCGAAGAAUCUUACCAAGGCUUGACAUGUAUUGGAAUCUGCUGGAAACAGCGGAGUGCCCGCAAGGGAGGCAAUACACAGCUGCUGCAUGGCUGUCGUCAGCUCGUGUCGUGAGAUGUUUGGUUAAGUCCAUAAACGAGCGCAACCCUCACCCAAUGUUACAUUACUUUGGGAACUGCCACGCUACAACGUGGAGGAAGGUGGGGAUGACGUCUAGUCCGCAUUGCGCUUAUGCCUUGGGCUACACAGACGCUACAAUGGCCGGUACAAAGGGACGCCAAGUCGCGAGACGGAGCAAAUCCCAAAAAACCGGUCCCAGUUCGGAUUGAAGGCUGAAACUCGCCUUCAUGAAGCCGGAAUCGCUAGUAAACGCGUUUCAGAAGUGCGCGUUGAAUACGUAAACAGGUCUUGUACACACCGCCCGUCAAGUUAUGGGAGUCGGGAAUACCCGAAUGGUCAUCGGUUUUGAUCAGAAGGUAGGCCUGACAACUGUAAUUAAGUCGUAACAAGGUAACCA
rnacentral:rRNA from 1 species